AGAGUUUGAUCCUGGCUCAGAACGAACGCUGGCGGCAGGCCUAACACAUGCAAGUCGAGCGCGCCUUCGGGUGAGCGGCGGACGGGUUAGUAACGCGUGGGAACGUGCCCUUCUCUACGGAAUAACCUCUGGAAACGGAGAGUAAUACCGUAUACGCCCUUUGGGGGAAAGAUUUAUCGGAGAAGGAUCGGCCCGCGUUAGAUUAGGUAGUUGGUGGGGUAAUGGCCUACCAAGCCUACGAUCUAUAGCUGGUUUUAGAGGAUGAUCAGCAACACUGGGACUGAGACACGGCCCAGACUCCUACGGGAGGCAGCAGUGGGGAAUCUUAGACAAUGGGGGCAACCCUGAUCUAGCCAUGCCGCGUGAGUGAUGAAGGCCUUAGGGUCGUAAAGCUCUUUCGCCUGUGAUGAUAAUGACAGUAGCAGGUAAAGAAACCCCGGCUAACUCCGUGCCAGCAGCCGCGGUAAUACGGAGGGGGUUAGCGUUGUUCGGAAUUACUGGGCGUAAAGCGCGCGUAGGCGGAUUAGAAAGUUGGGGGUGAAAUCCCGGGGCUCAACCUCGGAACUGCCUCCAAAACUGCUAGUCUAGAGUUCGAGAGAGGUGAGUGGAAUUCCGAGUGUAGAGGUGAAAUUCGUAGAUAUUCGGAGGAACACCAGUGGCGAAGGCGGCUCACUGGCUCGAUACUGACGCUGAGGUGCGAAAGUGUGGGGAGCAAACAGGAUUAGAUACCCUGGUAGUCCACACCGUAAACGAUGAAUGCCAGUCGUCGGGUAGUAUACUAUUCGGUGACACACCUAACGGAUUAAGCAUUCCGCCUGGGGAGUACGGUCGCAAGAUUAAAACUCAAAGGAAUUGACGG
rnacentral:rRNA from 1 species